rnacentral:misc_RNA from 1 species
UUUUUUUUUUUUAAUAAAAAAGAAAACACACAAGUCAGUGAUUAGGAACUUGCACCGCUCAAUUCUUAAAAAAAUCCUAAUUGAAUUUAAGUUCCAAUCAUAACUGAUUUAAUUUAUAACAAAUAUCUUAAAAAUUUUAUAAAAAUAAUUAAAAAAUAUAUAACAUCUCUUCUGAAUUAAUUCAUAUCAUUUAAAAAGUUUCAUUUAUAAAAAAAUAAAAAAAUAUAUUGACUUUAGUUCAAUGAUAUUAAUUUUUUAGUUUUUUUUCAAAUUAUGAAAUUUUAAAUAAAAUAAUUUGUAAUAAAUAUGUGGGCCAAUGUUACCUAAUUUUGGUUUUCCAUCUUCUUCAGUAAGUGAGAUUUUUUCAAGAACUAUCCAAACUAAAUUUGUGCACUUUAUUUGUCAAUCUAACCCUUGAAGUGCGCAUUAAGAAACUAAUAUAAAUAUCCAAACUACACGUUGAUGAUUUUUAUUUAUAACUUUACUUAAUAAUUAAAAAAAUAAUUAAAUAAUUUUAAUUUUAUAAAAAUUUAU